rnacentral:lncRNA from 11 species
AUGGGCAGCCAUUUUCAACAGGCCAGGGAAAGCUUCAUUGCUUCAUCGCUUCCAUCUCCUCGUUGGACCAAGGCCGUGGUCGAGCUCGGCUACUCGAGAGAGAGAGAGGCCCGUUCCGGAGCGGUGGUGCCUCUGGCCCUGGCCGCCUCCUUCUUCCAGAGGGUGACCACAGCAUCGGCAGAACCACCAGCCGAGGAGCCCGGAAGCUCCCCAAACGCCGCCGGGAAUCCCUCCGGAUCCGGGAGCCUUUGGACCAUUUCCAUAGGUCCUCCACCCCGGCAGAGAGUCUCAGCCUGGUCAGGCCGUGAGCCCCCCGCCCAGCUCCAACGGCGAGGGUCCGGAGGGGAGGCCGGGGGUUGGGCCGGAUCUUGGGGCGGACACAAGGGGUUGGUGGCGCGCCCCUCUCCACAUCUGCUGCCGGGGCCCCUGAAGAACGUGGUGCCGCUCCACCUGCUGAGCACCACCACCAGACCCAGACGCAGGCCGCCGGCCAGGCCAGACCCCCACCAAGAUGGCCGCCCCCACCCCUCCGGUGAGCCCAGACCCCCCUCUCCUUCCAGGGUCACCUCGGGAGGCCUGCUUCCUUGGCCGCCUCGUGGAGGAGAGUGCACACUCGACUGACGGGCGCUGUGUUGUGUCUCCCGUGUGCCCUUGCAGCCACAACCUGGUGCAGACGUGCUGGCAGGACAACCCCACGGUGCGCCCCUCCCUCCCCGAGGACCUCCACCCCACUUCCCGUGAGGCCUCCUUCCUGGACAGCGAGGAGGAGAACAAGCCGCCGGAGACGGAGGAGGACAAGCUGGACUCUGGGAACACGGAGAGCCUCCUCCCGCUGGACCCGGCCUCCGACAUGCAGCGGGACGAGACCCUGGGCCUGGAAGAGACGGAACUCUGGGGAGACCCUCCCGGGCGCCCUGGCACGUGGACGGACAGAAGGACAACGGGCGCCUCUCCCUUCGGGCUGAGGGUCUGGCUUUGGCCUCCA